rnacentral:rRNA from 1 species
UACGAAGGGAGCUAGCGUUGUUCGGAAUUACUGGGCGUAAAGGGCGUGUAGGCGGUUCGGCAAGUCAGAUGUGAAAGCCCUGGGCUCAACCCGGGAACUGCGUUUGAUACUGCCGGACUAGAAUUCGGGAGAGGUGAGUGGAAUUCCCAGUGUAGAGGUGAAAUUCGUAGAGAUUGGGAAGAACACCCGUGGCGAAGGCGGCUCACUGGACCGACAUUGACGCUGAGACGCGAAAGCGUGGGGAGCAAAC